rnacentral:rRNA from 1 species
GAUGAACGCUGGCGGCGUGCUUAACACAUGCAAGUCGAACGGAUUUAUGAUGAAACCUAGUGAUUCAUAAGUUAGUGGCGGACGGGUGAGUAACGCGUGGAUAACCUGCCUUAUACCGGGGGAUAACACUUAGAAAGAGGUGCUAAUACCGCAUAAGCGCACAGAGCCGCAUGGCUUGGUGUGAAAAACUCCGGUGGUAUAAGAUGGAUCCGCGUCUGAUUAGCUAGUUGGUGAGGUAAGGGCUCACCAAGGCGACGAUCAGUAGCCGGCCUGGGAGAGGGAACAGCCAGAUUGGGACUGAGACACGGCCCAAGCGCCGACGGGAGGGAGCAGUGGAGAAUAUUGCACAAUGGGCGAGAGCCUAAUGCAGCGACGCGGCGUGAGUGAAGAAGUAUUUCGGUAUGUAAAGCUCGAUCAGAAAGGAAGAAAAUGACGGUACUUGACUAAGAAGCCCCGGCUAACUACGUGCCAGCCGCCGCGGUAA